UACGUAGGGUGCGAGCGUUAAUCGGAAUUACUGGGCGUAAAGCGUGCGCAGGCGGUUUUGUAAGCCAGAUGUGAAAUCCCCGGGCUUAACCUGGGAAUGGCAUUUGGGACUGCAAGGCUUGAGUGCGGCAGAGGAGACUGGAAUUCCUGGUGUAGCAGUGAAAUGCGUAGAUACCAGGAGGAACACCGAUGGCGAAGGCAGGUCUCUGGGCUGACACUGACGCUCAUGCACGAAAGCGUGGGGAGCAAACAGG
rnacentral:rRNA from 1 species